rnacentral:lncRNA from 1 species
GGAGAAUGUGCCUUGCUCAAGGGCACACAGAGUAAUGGCAGAGCCAGGACUCAAGUCCAGGCACAUGAAAUAAUGUUCUUGAUCUUAACCCCUAGCCUGGGAUGGUGCAGGCUGAACGGUGAGCUCCAGCACAUCAGCAAUUACUAUAUGUAAGGAAAAAGGAGUAGCUUAGCAGCAGGAAUGAAGCCCAAGAAAAAUACUCCAAGUUGCCUUCCAAGAUUGAAGCAAUGAUAUCUGAGACCCUAUUGGUUCUCUUCUUCUGGAGAACGCUAAUAGAGAGGCUCUGUCCACGCAGAAAUGAUGGGAGCACAGGCUGGGGGAGUCACCGGGCAGGUGUGAGAAGUAGCUGGGAUAUGGAUGCACUGUGAAACCAGAGCCUGGGUGUGGGAUACGCAAGAAGAGAUGGGAGUCAAGGAGGCUCAGAGGUGGAAGAGCAUGAACUUCCUCCUGUAGACAAAAGGGAUAAUCACUUGUGUCUCCUUCAGAGACCUUGACAGAAAACAUCACUCUAGAAGCAAAACAGGGAACAGGCGGUUGGAGGCAGAGAAACCAGCUACAAGGCUGUUCGGACACUAGACUGUUAUCUACAUGGGGAGGCACCUGGCAGGUGGCCAGAUCCCCAGAUGGAAUCUCCACCUUGUGGUUUAUGAGGCAUUCUAGGCCACUGCCUCCUGAAGACACUGCUCAGGGUGGUAAGAACUCAUUUUGCAUUUGGGGAGCUGUAGGUGGGGAUGGUGAUAAGCAGCCCAGGAUUUUGUUCGCCAAGAGGUAUUAUUCCAACUUCCACAACCCAAAUAGCAUCUCUGCACGGAAAUGAAGCUGCAACAGCUCCCUGUCAUGGAUGGGGCACUUCCCAGUUCUCAGACUUCAUCACUAGAGCCCCCAAGCUUGGAUGUUGUUGCUGAACUCCCUCAAGGCACUAAGUGUUAGCCUGAGCACCUCUCCUGGCUGGACCAGGGGUCACUUGCUCCAUUACAGUUCUCUCCAGCUCGGUGACACUCUCACUGUAAAUGCAAGUUCUCACUCAGUGAAUGCCAAGACGAAUGCAACCCUACCUAGUGGGGUAGAGAUUAGGAAAUGGGCGAUGAGAGGCACAGGGCUCUUGGGAAGGGAGCCCUGCUGCUGGGGGCCUGAGAGACACCCAGUGGAGAGGAGCCUGGACAAACUUGGCAACCAGCCCCAACCACGUUCCGCAGCAUUUUGGGGGCCAGGCACCCUGUGUGUGAUCCCUUUCCACUGUAACCAGGCCUGCUCCCUGCUCUUCCCCUCGGAGACACAGAUGACUGCUCCUCUCUGGCAGCCCAAAGCUUUCUCUGCCCCCACAACUGCCUGGGGGCCUUUGAGCCACUUCUCCCCAGUUCUGUUCCAAACCCACCAGGAAGUCCUUCCCCAAAAGUCCACUUACUCUUUGAGAUCAGUGUGAGGAAGCUACUCUAAGAACAAAACUAAGCACCCGGUGGUGAGUGCCCAAGCUCAAGUGUGCAGAUUUUUUCUGACAGCAGAAUAGACCUGUCUACUUGCCUUCCAAGUUGAGUCCUGAAGUGGGUAACUUCCUCCUCUGACUUCUGCCCUCAGGCUCCCUGGGCAACGGCCCUGACGUUGCUUUCUAGCCCCUCACCAUGAAGCCUGUCAGGGAGCCGCGUGCCUCACCCUCUAUCUGCCCCUCACUAAACUCAGGAUCCUAAAAUCUGCCCUCUUACCCAUUUUCGUUCACAUGAAUUAAACUCCAACUACAAUGAAUUUGAAGGAUCCCAUCUGCCUCUCUAAACUCACCCCCCUCCACAUUUCAGCCAAUCCAACCAACUCAGCAGUCACCUUAUCCUCAAGGAUCUUGGGAUGCGCAGUAAUUCCCAUCUCCCACCCAGCCCUCCUGACACUCGCCACAGGGGAACUUUCAGCCGGCACACCACGGCCAGUGUCGCCUAGCGAACACACCCCCCCCCACCCCACACCCCAAAGUUCGAAGUUGAGAAUAAGCCAUUUGCUGGUGGACUCGGUUCCCACAGGAGGGAUGAGGACAGCUGCCAUCUGCACAUCAGCUGCCUAGGACUUAACAUUUCACACGUCACGUUUCAAAUAGAGGCAGCAGCUGCAGCUGAGAUGAAGCAUAUCAAAG